rnacentral:tRNA from 3 species
GCGCUCGUAGCUCAACUGGAUAGAGCACUUGAUUACGGCUCAAGAGGUUAUGGGUUCAACUCCUGUCGAGCGCGCCA